UACGUAGGGGGCAAGCGUUGUCCGGAAUUAUUGGGCGUAAAGCGCGCGCAGGCGGUCCUUUAAGUCUGAUGUGAAAGCCCACGGCUCAACCGUGGAGGGUCAUUGGAAACUGGAGAACUUGAGUACAGAAGAGGAAAGCGGAAUUCCACGUGUAGCGGUGAAAUGCGUAGAGAUGUGGAGGAACACCAGUGGCGAAGGCGGCUUUCUGGUCUGUAACUGACGCUGAGGCGCGAAAGCGUGGGGAGCAAACAGG
rnacentral:rRNA from 1 species